AUCUAGCUGAAAAGUCUCAAAUAGGGCGAAACAUGCGUCCUAGAU
rfam:Schistosoma rodhaini strain Burundi genome assembly, scaffold: SROB_scaffold0020700